AUGGAAGAUGACACCCGCCCCACCCUGACAGUGCUGCCCCCCUCCAUUAAGGAGCUGGAGAAUGGGAAGGCCACGCUCACAUGUCUGGCCAACAAGGGCUUCCCCUCAGACUGGAGUCUGUCCUGGAAGGUGGAUGGAAGAAGCAGCAGUGACGGGGAGGAGAGCAGGAGCCCUGGUGUGCUGCAGAAUGACGGCCUGUAUAGUUGGAGCAGCACCCUGAAGCUCUCCACAUACCAGUGGAUGAAGGUGGGCUCUGUGACCUGUGAGGCCACCCAGGGCUCCCAGACUCUGGUCUCAAAGAUACUGAGCAGAGAUCAGUGUUCACAUUUGUGA